rnacentral:rRNA from 1 species
AUUGAACGCUGGCGGCAGGCUUAACACAUGCAAGUCGAGCGGGGGAAGGUAGCUUGCUACCGGACCUAGCGGCGGACGGGUGAGUAAUGCUUAGGAAUCUGCCUAUUAGUGGGGGACAACAUCUCGAAAGGGAUGCUAAUACCGCAUACGUCCUACGGGAGAAAGCAGGGGAUCUUCGGACCUUGCGCUAAUAGAUGAGCCUAAGUCGGAUUAGCUAGUUGGUGGGGUAAAGGCCUACCAAGGCGACGAUCUGUAGCGGGUCUGAGAGGAUGAUCGGUCACACGGGGACUAAGACACGGCGCAGAAUCCUACGGGAGGCAGCAGUGGGGAAGAGUGGACAAUGGGGUGAACCCUGAUCCAACCAUGCCGCGUGUGUGAAGAAGGCCUUAUGGUUGUAAAGCACUUUAAGCGAGGAGGAGGCUACUUUAGUUAAUACCUAGAGAUAGUGGACGUUACUCGCAGAAUAAGCACCGGCUAACUCUGUGCCAGCCGCCGCGGUAA